GGGCUUACUCUAGCAAAAUCAAGUUGGUCGAGUUUGAGUUGCUUCACCUGUUGAGGUCUUCUCACCUUCUUUUGUGCAUGCAGGUCUGUGCAUGAACUAGGAGGCCUGCCUCUGAAUCCAAAGCAUAGCACAAGAUUUCAUUGGCUAGACGUAGCAGAGUAACAUAACCUAACUAAAGUUGGCAGUACAUGGGCUGCCUCCCAAAGGAGAAAG
rnacentral:lncRNA from 1 species